rfam:Callipepla squamata strain Texas jcf7180005233862, whole genome shotgun sequence.
GGUCUGUGGUGAAUAGUAAAAGGUCUGAUUGUCCCAAGACUUGCUCUUCUGUGGCCUCUUCUCCCAGCAGUUCCUCCCCAGCCGUGGCACAGCAGUGGUGUGGCUGGAGGGCUGCUUGCUGACAGCGUGUGAUGUGUUCAGUUCAUGUUAACCUGAAGCGCUGGGGACAUGACUGCCAUCACAUCCAACCUGCUGAAAGGAGUUGGGGUUUCAGCUAGUUAUAUCUGGAUGUAUGAUCUGGCUUUUCUGCUGAAACC